GUUUCCAGUCUUCCUCGUGGUUUCUCCUGGUGCUGGCGGAGUGUGGCGAGUUGUGCUUCCUGCUGGGAGAGAGAAGGACCUUGGAAAGCUGCUCUGCGACCACAGCUGUGCCGAGCCUGGGAGUUUGUUACGGCAGGAUGUUGAGUGCCACCGUGUCCCCGAGGUGACUGUUUCUCCUGCUGGGAGAGCACAGGAGGGAUGGAAAGGAUCCCCAGGCAUGUGCAGGCACAAGGAGCUCAUCCCACUGGGAUUUUCCUACAAGCCUUAAAGGAUGGGCUUUCAGGUACCCUGGUUAAUGUGCCAGCUCUCCUGCUGGAGCUGUUCCAUGGAAUAUUUGAACACAAAGAGUAAAGCUGAAGUCAGGUCUGUUCUGGA